rnacentral:tRNA from 1 species
GCCUGUUUGGCUCAGUGGAUAGAGCGUCAGCCUGUGGACUGAAGGGUCCAGGGUUCGAUUCCCAGUCAGGGCA